GCCGGGUGCAGUGGUGCACGCCUGUAAUCCCAGCAGCUCAGGAGGCCGAGACAGGAGGAUUGCCAGUUCAAAGCUAGCUGCAGCAAUGGCCAGGUGCUAAGCAACUCAGUGAGAUCCUGUCUCUA
rnacentral:sRNA from 1 species